AGACUUGCUGAGUCUUCUGGCCUUCGUCUUCCUUUCGUGCUGGAGCUUCCUGCCCUCGAACAUCAGACUCCAAGUUCUUCAGGUUUUGAACUCUUGGACUUACACCAGCGGCUUGCCACAUGGUCUCAGGCCUUCAACUACAGACUGAAGGAUACCCUGUUGGCUUCCCUACUUUUGCGGUUUUGGGACUCAGACUGGCUUCCUUGCUCCUCAGUUUGCAGUUGGCCUAUCGUGGGACUUCACCUUGUGAUCAUUCAAUGGAUGGAUGCAUCUUGAUUAGUUCAUGUAGUGAAAGAAGAAAUUCCAUCAGAACUUGAGGAAAUGUUCCAAUGAGCAAAUACUUUUAAUUUCUCUACCUGUGUUAUAUCUACGGGUAUCCUACAGAACAAGAUAUUGUUUAUUUCAAGAUUCCUGUCAAGAUCUAUUUUCUUCUCAAAUAUGCUCUACCGGAGUAAUCUUAUGGUUCCUGUCUGCUCCGUCUGCUAUAACAGAAUGUCCUAAACUGAGUGGUUUAAAAGACAUUUAUUUUUUACAAUUCUGAUGUCUGGAGACCAAAAUGCCAGCUGAUUUGUUCCUGCAGUCUUUUAGAAGCAAUAAUGGCACUAAUAAUUAAGUCAAUAAGAACAUUUGGCACAGUGAUUGGGAACACUGCAGUUUGCCUCGAUCACUCAUACUACUACCGCUUAUUUGUAGGGUGGAAAACCUGAAAAGACUGUAGGCUACUACUCCAAUCCUAAAGCAGGGACGUCAUUCAGAAAGAAUCAUGCGACUGCUUCUGCCCCAAACUCAGAACCAUUGCUUAGAGAUUUUGCCCAGGGUGAAAUGCAGGAAAAACAAACAAACAAACAAACAAAUAAA
rnacentral:lncRNA from 1 species